UACGUAAGUGGCGAGCGUUAUCCGGAAUCACUGGGCGUAAAGAGUUCGUAGGCGGCGCGGCAAGUUGGGUUUGAAAGACCGGGGCUCAACUCCGGAAACGGACCCAAAACUGCCGUGCUUGAGCAGAUCAGAGGGCGGCGGAAUUCCCGGUGUAGCGGUAAUAUGCGUAGAUAUCGGGAGGAACACCAGUGGCGAAGGCGGCUGCCUGGGGUCUUGCUGACGCUGAGGAACGAAAGCUAGGGUAGCGAACGGG
rnacentral:rRNA from 1 species